AAUAUUGUAAUUGUUGUCUCAAACAUCUGCAGAGGAUCAGGUUGGGAAAGUCAAUGAAAAAUUCUUCUCAAGACCAGCUCAGACAUGAAAUCUGCUAGUCUCAGUCCCAAAUGUAACUGCUUAGUAUCCAUUUGCAGUAGGGGUAGGAAUAUAUGGAGCUGCCUUAUGCUGAAUAAGACCACUGGUCUAUCCAGCCCAGAUUUUCCAAACCUUGGAUCUACCGGUCUUCUUGAACCUCAGCUCCCAUCUUCCCUGAUCAUCGAUCAUACUGGCUGGGAGUUUUAGUAGGGAACAUGUUGAGCCUAAUUCUAUUGCCUAUUGUAGGAGGAGGCAUAUGUUUUGGACUUCAAGUCCCAGAACAUGCUGCAGCAUGGCCAUUGAUGGGAAGUGAAGUCUAAAACAUCUGGAGAUUUGCAUUCUGUGCACCCCUAUUCCAUUCAGACCAGUUUCCUAGGUUUUCAGACAGACCUCUUUCCCAUCAGCUCAUUGGUAAACUCAGGCAUGGCAAAUGGUAUUUUUCCCUUUGGUGACUGUAACUAUCAUGUGCCCCCUUAAAAGCAUGAGGUUAUUAUAGGUCUCCUAUUAGCAAGGCUGCCUUGUGUGUUAAGCUUCACCUCUGUUUGCUGUUACUUAACCCCCAGACAAUGCCAAUGGGCUUAAUCACUGCUCUCAACCUGGCAACCCUGUAUAAAUGGAGACUCGCUGAGGAUUAGCAUCUCAGCAUUUUCCAUUGCUGAUUGUUCAUUUUCCCAAAGGCUGCUCAGUCAGCCUCCCAUCUUCUUUCAACAUGGAUAGGUGGACAUGCCAGCGGGGUUAUCAGUCUAAAGGGUGCUCUGGAGUUGCGCCAUCAGUGAGAGGGCUGGCUAUCAAUGUUCUGCAGCCUGCACUCUUCGAGCCAGCCUUCUUCAACCUGGUGCUCUCCAGAGAUUUUGGUCUUUCAAGAAUCCCACUGAGCAUGGCCACCAGUCAGGAAUCCUGAAAGUUAUAGUCCCAACAUCUGGGGCACAGCAUGUUGGAGAGGACUGCUGUAAGAGGGCAUUCGACAAGCAUUGUCAGCAGGAAGAAAAGAAGGAAAGGAAAUUAUGGCCACUGGGGAGGGAAGCAUAAAUCUUUCCCUUUCAA